UACGUAGGGGGCAAGCGUUGUCCGGAUUUAUUGGGCGUAAAGAGCGUGUAGGCGGCCUGGCAGGUCGGUUGUGAAAACUGGAGGCUCAACCUCCAGACGUCGACCGAAACCGCCAGGCUAGAGUCCGGAAGAGGAGAGUGGAAUUCCUGGUGUAGCGGUGAAAUGCGUAGAUAUCUGGAGGAACACCGGUGGCGAAGGCGGCAUCCUGGACCGGCAUUGACGCUGAGGAGCGAAAGCCAGGGGAGCAAACGGG
rnacentral:rRNA from 1 species